CGGGAAAGAAGGCCGUUUCGGGUUAGUAAACCGCUUUUGGUCGGGAAGGAAAAGGGUUACAGGUUAAUAGGUCCUGGAUUGUUGACGGUACCGGCAGAAUAAGCACCGGCUAACUACGUGC
rnacentral:rRNA from 1 species